UACGUAGGCAGCGAGCGUUGUUCGGAGUUACUGGGCGUAAAGAGUGCGUAGGCGGUUUCUAAGUUUGGUGUGAAAUCUCCCGGCUCAACUGGGAGGGUGCGCCGAAGACUGGAAGGCUUGAGUAUGGGAGAGGUAAGCGGAAUUCCUGGUGUAGCGGUGGAAUGCGCAGAUAUCAGGAGGAACACCUAUAGCGAAGGCAGCUUGCUGGGACGUUACUGACGCUGAGGCGCGAAAGCUAGGGGAGCAAACGGG
rnacentral:rRNA from 1 species